UACGGAAGGGGCUAGCGUUGUUCGGAAUUACUGGGCGUAAAGCGCGCGUAGGCGGCUGGUCAAGUGAGGCGUGAAAGUCCUGGGCUCAACCUGGGGACGGCGCUUCAGACUGUCUGGCUUGAGUCCGGAAGAGGGUGGUGGAAUUCCGAGUGUAGAGGUGAAAUUCGUAGAUAUUCGGAGGAACACCGGUGGCGAAGGCGGCCACCUGGUCCGGUACUGACGCUCAAGUGCGAAAGCGUGGGGAGCAAACAGG
rnacentral:rRNA from 1 species